rnacentral:tRNA from 1 species
UGUGUCAGAAGCAAUGUAUUAAAUUUAAGAUUUAACUAUGAAAGACUUAUUCCUUUAGUA